rnacentral:rRNA from 1 species
UAGGGAAUCUUCGGCAAUGGGGGGAACCCUGACCGAGCAACGCCGCGUGAGUGAAGAAGGGUUUCGGAUCGUAAAGCUCUGUUGUUAAGGAAGAACGAGUGUGAGAAUGGAAAGUUCAUACUGUGACGGUACUUAACCAGAAAGGGACGGCUAACUACGUGCCAGCAGCCGCGGUAAUACGUAGGUCCCGAGCGUUGUCCGUAUUUAUUGGGCGUAAAGCGAGCGCAGGCGGUUAGAUAAGUCUGCAGUUAAAGGCAGUGGCUCAACCAUUGUAUGCUUUGGAAACUGUUUAACUUGAGUGCAGAAAGGGAGAGUAGAAUUCCAUGUGUUGCGGUGCAAUGCGUAGAUAUUUGGAGGAACACCGGUGGCGAAAGCGGCUCUCUGGUCUGUAACUGACGCUGAGGCUCGAAAGCGUGGGGAGCGAACAGG